UAGUUGAGAUAGAAAAGAUAAAGUGGUGAAAGAGAAAUAUUUUGUACAUCGGGUGUAAAAAUAAAUUUUAUAUACUACAUUUCUAAAAUUUUAUUAUAAAAAAUUUAAAUUAUAUAAAUUUUAUAUACUACAUUUUUAAAAUCUCAUUAUAAAAAAUUUAAAUUAUAUAACUUUUUAUGUAUAGCUUUUUUUAUUAUUUAUAUUCUAUAUAUAAGUUAAAAAUAAAUUAU
rnacentral:lncRNA from 1 species